UUCAAUUUGAGGUCCUUUCGUUCAUAUGUUGUUGAAUAAAAUUGUCUAUUUCUGCUUGGUAUAGGACUUUGAACUGAAUAGCUAUCGCUGUUGAAGCUAAGAAGGGGUGGUACUACUUCAGCAGCUCCUGCUUAAUAACGACAAGUUCUGAUUGAAGGACUUCAGCUCAGCUGCUACAAAAACUUCUUCUAAAAAUACAUCGGGAUAUAUUAUGGCGAAUUGAUUCUGAUUCCUACAGUAAAGAUGAGAUAAAAACAAUCCAGAUAAAAAGCCAGGUACGUAAUGGCGCAGUACUUUGAAGAUCCCACGAAGAUGUUUGAGCCCAUGGAGUUCGACGCGGUCCACAGAGGGUCGUUUAACAUCACUCAAUGCAUCCAGGAUGUCCUCAACUGCUAUGCGAUUGUGAAGCCCGAUGAGAUAUGUUCGGAGUACUCGCACACACAUGCGUCCAUCUGCUCGGCCAUGCGACAUUGGUGUGACGACCAUCAUGGGUACCAAGAAGACUACGUGAAUGGAUUGUUCCAUAUUUACGAAAGCUUUUGUCGGCCGUAUCACGACUUGGGCACCCGACGAAAGUAUGGGAACCGGCUUACUUCUGGCAACAAAAGCACGAAUGAUGAGCAGUUACUACGAAGAGCUGACAACGUCACGGAACCACCAAACGAGAUUAUCUAAAGCACUAAUUGUCCUGUUCUUUAUUAUAAAUAAAUAAUACCCAGCAAGGUACUUGAGCGGUGUCAUUGCACGUACAGGAGUCAAAACUAAUGGACAUGCAGCAAUUGAAGCCAUGAAGUGGAGAUGAGCGAUUCUUGUGCAUUGUUAUAACUACUUGUUCAUUGGGCUGAGAAUAUGCUCCGCUUGGCAUUAUUCAUGUAUAUUUGUGUGUAUAUGUGUAGUAUAUAGUAACUGUAUAUAAUAAAUAAAUAAAUAAUAUUAUACCUAUACCCACUAUACAUAAUAUUA